CGCAAACACAAAGAGCCGCGCGGCCACGACGGCCGCGUGCCCGGAGCGCCGGGGUCUUUCCUGGGCUCCAAAGUCAAGAGCUCACGUUCCGGGAGGAUCUGUCCGCGGAAAUUCGGUUCUGAGCGUCGCCGGACUCCGCCGCGGGGAGGCGGAAAAGCGGACGUAAGUGCUGCCGAGGAGAUGGAGGCGUUGGACCCCCUCGCGCAUUGUCGGGGCGGGUGCAGCCGCGGUGCAAAAGGACCUUCCUCAGAAAGUUGAGCACGAAGUUCCCACAGGCCCGGAAGUUCCCCUCCCGGGCGCUCCCCAGAGAGCUGAAGACUGGGCGCGUGCCGGCGGCAAAUGUUCACAGCAAAGGGCGGCCCAGUGCGCAGCUGGAACAUCAGCCCCAGGCGGUCGCUGCGACAGGGACGAGCCUGGGAAACGUGAAAAUGUCCAGAACAGGGAAUCCACAGAUAAAGAAAAGACAUCGUGGUUGCCAGAGCUCGCGGGAGGGGGCAACAGGGACCGACUGCUUAACGUGUAUGGUUCCCCUUCAGGGUGAGGACGUGUUCUGGGACGAGGUCGAGGUCAGGGUUGCAGGACAAGAUGAAAGCGCUAAAUGCCACUGAAUUGUUUGCUUUAACGUCAUUAAUUUUGUUAUGUGAAUUUCAUCUCAAUAGAAUAAAUAGGUCAAGCUGGCUGCAGGGCCCACCCCACCGCGGCCUGGAGCAGGGUCUUCUGGGGUGUACCACCUCUGCCCUCACCCAGGCUCCACCACGACCAGCUUCGUCCACCCCCCAGGAGACCAUGAAGGCCCACGUCUGAAAUCCUCACUAAGCCCACCCUCCCAUCUCCCUGAACUACGGAUAACUACCUACAAGUUUUCUGAUUUAUUCAUUAGUGGAUUUGUUCGUGAUCAGCCCCACACCUGUUAGAAUGGAAGCUGCAGGCAGCAGGAACCAGUGUGGCCAAGUCGGAGGGCAGCACAAGCCGGUCCUCCUCGUGGACAGCAGGUGUGGAGCAGGCCAGGCCCACAGGAGGGCGGGCAGGAGGGCAGGCACCGAGAGGUGCGGAUGGCCUCUCAGAACAGGGGUGCAGGCUGGUGGGGGCAGCAGCU
rnacentral:lncRNA from 10 species